UACGUAGGGUGCAAGCGUUGUCCGGAAUUAUUGGGCGUAAAGAGCUCGUAGGCGGUCUGUCGCGUCGGAUGUGAAAACCCAGGGCUCAACCCUGGGCCUGCAUUCGAUACGGGCAGACUAGAGUUCGGUAGGGGGAGACUGGAAUUCCUGGUGUAGCGGUGGAAUGCGCAGAUAUCAGGAGGAACACCAAUGGCGAAGGCAGAUCUCUGGGCCGUAACUGACGCUGAGGAGCGAAAGCAUGGGGAGCGAACAGG
rnacentral:rRNA from 1 species